UACGGAGGGUGCAAGCGUUAUCCGGAUUCACUGGGUUUAAAGGGUGCGUAGGUGGGUUGGUAAGUCAGUGGUGAAAUCUCCGAGCUUAACUCGGAAACUGCCAUUGAUACUAUCAAUCUUGAAUAUUGUGGAGGUCAGCGGAAUAUGUCAUGUAGCGGUGAAAUGCUUAGAGAUGACAUAGAACACCAAUUGCGAAGGCAGCUGGCUACACAUAUAUUGACACUGAGGCACGAAAGCGUGGGGAUCAAACAGG
rnacentral:rRNA from 1 species